rnacentral:rRNA from 1 species
UACGUAGGGCGCAAGCGUUAUCCGGAAUUAUUGGGCGUAAAGAGCUCGUAGGCGGUUUGUCGCGUCUGCCGUGAAAGUCCGGGGCUCAACUCCGGAUCUGCGGUGGGUACGGGCAGACUAGAGUGAUGUAGGGGAGACUGGAAUUCCUGGUGUAGCGGUGAAAUGCGCAGAUAUCUGGAGGAACACCGGUGGCGAAGGCGGCAUUCUGGACCAUUACGUGACGCUGAGGAGCGAAAGCCAGGGGAGCAAAGCGGG